CUGGUUAGUGGAAGAUGGGACAGCAAUUCUGCUGCCAGCCUCUGUUGAAAAGGAUUUGGUAGGGUAGAGCUAAGGAACCUAAGCAGCCUGUUUGUCGCUGCCUGUACCGCUGGAGGGUAACUUGGCUUCUUCCUGCAGCUUCUUGCACUCUGGCAUUGUGGGGGAAACUCUAUAUUCCACGCCGAACAGACCUGGAUGGAUCCAACCCGCCGGGGGUGGAAGGAAACCAGCACUACAGCUGAGCAUUUUGAUGAUCCAGGAACGCGCCAGCCAGCACCUCAGUAUCCUUUCAUGGCUAACACGUCCCACAGCUUCUGCAUCCAGCUGAUGUUUUCUCCUCCAUUGACAGAGCCGUAUUCCACGACCACCUCAGUAAAUAAUCGUGGUUUCUCCCCAUUGUCUCCUAUUUUUCUACUGAAAAGAAAGAAGGAUAAACAUACAACCAGCUCUUCUGUUUACCACCAAUGCUUUCUCCAACUUCUCCAGUUCCUGGACUUGUGCCUAGCUCAGCCCUCCCCACCCUUUUGGCUCCGCAGUCCAUCAGCUGCGUUCAAAGGCAGGAAGCCUCCCCCACACCCUCUGCCUUACUCACAGCCUAGCCCCAAGCACGCUCUGCAAGCUACGAGCUCCGGCAGACCACAGAUGCUAUAA
rnacentral:lncRNA from 1 species